rnacentral:rRNA from 1 species
GGGAUAUCAAACUCCGAAUGCCGUAAAGAUGCUCAUCGGGAGUCAGACUGCACGAGAUAAGUUGGGCAGUCAAAAGGGAAAGAGCCCAGACCUGCUGCUAAGGUCCCAAAGUACGUGUUAAGUGGAAAAGGAUGUGGGAUUUCGAAGACAACUAGGAUGUUGGCUCAGAAGCAGCCACACAUUCAAAGAGUGCGUAAUAGCUCACUAGUCGAGAGGUCCUGCGCCGAAAAAUGUCCGGGGCUGAAACACGACACCGAAGCACAGGAUAUCCGUAAGGAUAUGGUAGAGGAGCAUUGCUGGCGCGAUGAAGCAGUACCGGAAGGAGCUGUGGAGUGCCAGGAAGAGAGAAUGCCGGAAUGAGUAGCGAGAGAGAGGUGGGAAGUCCUCUCGGCCGAAUAUCCAAGGUUCCAGGGUAAAGCUGAUCUGCCCUGGGUAAGUCGGGGCCGUAAGGAGAGGCAGAAAUGCGUAUCCGAUGGACAGCAGGUUGAGAUU